rnacentral:tRNA from 1 species
GGGGUUGUGACUCAGCGGUAGAGCACUCACCUAGCACAUGUGAGACCCUGGGUUCAACCCUCAGCACCACA